AGCAGCCGCGGUAAUUCCAGCUCCAAUAGCGUAUAUUAAAGUUGCUGCAGUUAAAAAGCUCGUAGUUGAAUUUCGGGACCAUCAUGUCGGUCGUGCCUCGGUACGUACUGGCAUUGUUGGUUUCUACCUUCUGACGAACCAUGAUGUCAUUUAUUUGGUGUCGUGGGAAAUCAGGACUGUUACUUUGAAAAAAUUAGAGUGUUUAAAGCAGGCUCACGCUUGAAUACAUUAGCAUGGAAUAAUGAAAUAGGACGUUUGAUUCUAUUUUGUUGGUUUCUAGGAUCGACGUAAUGAUUAAUAGGGAUAGUUGGGGGCAUUAGUAUUCAAUUGUCAGAGGUGAAAUUCUUGGAUUUAUUGAAGACUAACUACUGCGAAAGCAUUUGCCAAGGAUGUUUUCAUUAAUCAAGAACGAAAGUUAGGGGGAUCGAAGACGAUCAGAUACCGUCGUAGUCUUAACCAUAAACUAUGCCGACUAGGGAUCGGAUGAUGUUAAUUUUAAUGA
rnacentral:rRNA from 1 species